GGUAGAUAAUAGCAAACUUGUUGAAAGGCAAGGACGCAAAGCUUCCGGCCUAAGUUCGAAAGAAUAGGGUAGCGGGGCCACCAAA
rnacentral:ncRNA from 1 species